UGGGGAAUUUUGGACAAUGGGGGCAACCCUGAUCCAGCAAUGCCGCGUGAGUGAAGAAGGCCUUCGGGUUGUAAAGCUCUUUUGUCAGGGAAGAAACGGUAGUAGCGAAUAACUAUUACUAAUGACGGUACCUGAAGAAUAAGCACCGGCUAACUACGUGCCAGCAGCCGCGGUAAUACGUAGGGGUGCAAGCGUUAAUCGGAAUUACUGGGCAGUAAAGCGUGCGCAGGCGGUUGUGUAAGUCAGAUGUGAAAUACCCCGGGCUCAACCUGGG
rnacentral:rRNA from 1 species